CGCCCCAUGCUGUGGAGCCCGGCUGGAAGCCCGGGGGUUGUUGGGUCUUCACCCGGGAAAUGGGGAGAGAGACUGCGGGGCAGCUGGCACCACAUACGUGCCUUACAGGGGAGAGGAGAGGAGAAGAAAUGGUGGUAGAGAAAGAAAGGCAAGGGGAGCUGUGCAGAACCACCCGGAAGCUUGAGAGUUCAACGCGGAGAACCUGCUCUGUGCCAGGCCCCCACCUGGGAGGUGUGGGCAACCUUCCUGCCUUCCGGGUGCUCAGAGUCUAGUCUGGAGACAAUAAGAAAAAUGGUUAAUCACCAUGGAAUGUGCUAGCGCCUUAGCCCGAAGCAGGGGUCUGGUUAUUGAGUUUUUUCUGCAAACAGUUGUGCGUGAAAUCAGGACCCAGAUGCUGCAGAACUGAAGUGGGAAGGGACUGACCACCACUGGGCAAAAGGCCGAAGAGGGUAGGCCACAGAGGGGCUGUCUCUAAGGGCUAAAAAUACAAGGGUUGAGACCAACUGAAGUGUGGCGAUUUCCUUGACGUUGGCAUUUUGGUUUUGUUUUCCUUUUUUUAAGAUAAGAGUUAUAUAGUAACUCAGAGCUCAGUAACAUCAGCAUUUUGGAAGUAGGAUAGGAAGAAAGUCUCAUCACAAGGGAGCCCUGUGGAGAGGAAUGAGCACAGAAUUUGGAGUCAGAAGAGUGGAAGGCCUGGGCUUGGGGCCUGGCUGCACCGUGCCGGCUGGAUUGUUCUGGGAAAGCUGCCCAACUCUCUGCUCCGCAGUCCCCACAUCUGUCACUAGGGAUCAUAUCUGCCUCACAGGAUCAGCUGAGAUAAGGCACGUGUGUAAAAGGCUGUACAAAUGUUAGUUACUAUAAGGUUGUCUCAAAAAAAUAAAACCCACGGCAAAGAGUAUCCCAAGGCAGGCUCAUUUUACUCCAAUUACCAUUUGGCACCGAGCAGAUCAGGGGACUUACUGCAUGACACAGCAAGUCAGUGGAAGAGCCAAGGAGUGCACUCAUCCAAGUUACUGAUUCCGAUGUCAGCAAAACCUGCUGAAACCCAUCUUCACACUGCAGUUCAGAGGGUGUCCCCAGGAAGCACCUCUCUGCAAAGCAUGUUCAACGUAGUUCCCAGUGGCCUGCCAAAUGGUCAGCAGCAAGGUGUAACUGGAUGUCGCUUCCAGGAAGCAGAGUGAAAAGAGACAAGGAGUAGGAAACUAAUGUCCAGAGUCGGCCAUUUGCCCCAGGGACCGGAGUGGAGACUGCAUUUCUAAGUGCUUCCUCUGUCCACAGCCCUCCUCCCCCAUACCUUUUAAAAACAGAUUUGCUGGCUGGGUACGGUGGCUCAUGCCUGUAAUCCCAGCACUUUGGGAGGCUGAGGCAGGUGAAUUGCCUGAGCUCAGGAGUUCGAGACCAACCUGGACAAAACCCUAUCUCUAGCAAAAAAUACAAAAAGUUAGCCGGGCCUUGUGGUGCAUACCUGUGGUUCCAGCCACUGGGAAGGCUGAAGUGGGAGGAUCACUUGAGCCUGGGAGGUGGAGGUUGGAAUGAGCUGAGAUUGCGCCACUGCACUCCAACCUGAGUGACAGAGUGAGACCCCAUCUCACAAAAACAAAACACAGAUUUGUUGGCUGGGCAUAGUGGCACAUGCCUGUAAUCCCAGCACUUUGGGAGGCCGAAGCGGAAGGAUCACUGGAGUCCGGGAGUUUGAGACCAGCCCAAGCUGUGCAGCCCAGGCAACACAGCAAGACUUUGUGUUUCUUUUACAAAAAAAAAAUUAGCCAGGUUUGGUAGUGUACACCUGUAGUCCUAGCUACUCUGGAGGCUGGGGUGGGUGGAUCUCUUGCUUCCAAGAGUUCAAGGCUGCAGUGAGCUGAUUAUACCACUGUACUGUGGCCUGGGAAACAGAGUGAGACCCUGUCUCAAAAAAAAAAAAAACACCCAAAAGACAAAACACCACAUUUGUUGAAAUAUAAUUCACAUACAAUAAAAAUACAUCGUUUUAAAAUGGACAAUUCAUGGUGAUGUGCACCCGUAGUCCCAGCUACUUGGAAGGCUGAGAUGAGAGGAUCGCUGUGAGUCAAUGAAACCUCUUUCCUUUAUAAAUUACCCAGUCUCAGGUAUUUCUUCAUAACAGAAUGAGAAUGGACUAAUACAUCCUCCCACCUCAUCCUCCUAAAGUGUUGGGAUUACAGGCGUGAGCCACCGCACCCAGCUGUUUACACUCUCUUGAUGGUGUCCUUUAAAGCACACAAGUUGGUAGGAAGCAGUAGCUCAUGCCUGUAAUCCCAGCACUUUGGGAGGCCCAGGUGGGAGGAUUGCUUGAGGCCAGAUUGGGCAACAUAGCAAGACCUCCAUCUCUACAAAAUUUUAAAAAUUAGCUGGGUGUGGUGGUGCAUGCCUGUAGUCCCAGGUACUCAGGAAGUCAAGGCUGAAGGAUCACUGCAGCCUUGAGUCCGGCAGGUUGAAACUGCAGUGAGUUGUGAUCGCACCACUGCACCCUAGUCUGACCAAAAGAAUGAGACCCUGUCUCAGAAAAAAAAAAAAGAAAAAAAGGGGAAAAAACCCAUAAAAUUUUAAAAUCAUUAUUAAGUCUAAUUUAUCUAUUAUUUUUUCUACUCUUGCUUGUGCUUUUGGUGUCAAUCUAAGAAGUCUUUGCCUUACCCAAGGUUUACUGCUGCACUUUCUUCUAAGAGUUUUAUAGUUUUCGUUCUUACAAUUAGGUCUGUGAUCCAUUUUGAGAUAUUUUUAUUUAUUUACUUUUUUUGAGAUGGAGUUUUGCUCUUGUUGCCUAGGCUGGAGUGCAAUGGCGCGAUCUCAGCUUACUGCAACUUCUGCCUCCCAGGUUCAAGUGAUUCUCCUGUCUCAGCCUCCCGAGUAGCCUGGAAUUACAUGCACAUGCCACCACGCCUGGCUAAUUUUGCAUUUUUAAUAGAGAUGGAAUUUCACCAUGUUGGCCAGACUGGUCUCAAACUCCUGACCUCACAUGAUCCGCCUGCCUUGGCCUCCCAAAGUGCUGGGAUUACAAGUAUGAGCCACCAUGUCUGGCCAAGUUAAUGUUUGUUUAUC
rnacentral:lncRNA from 10 species